UAUCUGAAUAUCCUCGAGAACUGAAACGCUCACUUGAUCAUAAGUGGUGUGUAAAAGGGGAAAACAGACAUUUGAUUUCAUUUUUGUUCAUUACCACAGCAAGUAGUUGACUUCUUCUUAGUCUGUGAAAUGAUUUUAGAUGUAAUAAUCCAGAUGGUACAUAGACAAAAUCUUUAAUAUCUUUAACGAGGAUGGAUUAUCAAGUACCAACAAGAAGAAAGGAAAAGUCAGUAACCCAGUGCACAAGUCUCAAGAAAAGAGAUUUCCAUCGAAUGUGUGCACAAUGCUGAUGGAUUUCCUGGUGUGGUCAUCUAUGACGAUAAAGCAUUCCCCAUUCAACAAGAUGUCAUAGAGUGGCAUGCUUCAGGCUCUUACAGUUCUGUGCAACCUUUCCAAACUGCCCAUGAAGACACUGAGGACCCUGCCACACUGGAUAGGGAUCCUCCAGAGACUGACAGUAAUCCACGCCACAGUCUUUAAGAGGAAGAGGAGGCAAAGAGGAUGACUUGAGGCAUCUACAGCC